rnacentral:rRNA from 1 species
UACGUAGGUGGCUAGCGUUGUCCGGAAUUAUUGGGCGUAAAGGGCGCGUAGGCGGUGCGGUAAGUCACCUGUGAAAUCUCCCGGCUCAACCGGGAGUCUGCAGGCGAAACUGCCGUGCUGGAGUAUGGGAGAGGUGCGUGGAAUUCCCAGUGUAGCGGUGAAAUGCGUAGAUAUCGGGAGGAACACCUGUGGCGAAAGCGGCGCACUGGACCAUAACUGACGCUGAGGCGCGAAAGCUAGGGGAGCAAACAGG